AAAGGCCGCAGAUGCUCAGAGGCACUCAGCCUCGGCUGGCAAAAUUCAAGAUAAUCAUUUGGCAAAUUUUGUGCGUUAAAUAAAAUUCGAAUUAAAUCAAUAUUACCCAAAACCACGGGUACACGGAUGCCCGUUCGAGAAAAUUCAAGGAAGCCCCGUAUAUAAUUCUAAGCACGGGAACUCAGUUUGAAUAACGAAAUCUACUAGUAGUUGUUAGGAGAGGCCAUCUUUAACCUUUAAUUUCUUCAUGAGUUGGGGAUGCAGAACGUGCCCCAACCUAGCGCAGCAGCACGACGACAUCCGGGCCAAAAUGGCUUCUAGAGCGAAGGAGUAAUCACGGCCAGCCAUAAAUCGAGCCUUGUAUGUCUUUCUCCACUCGCUAUUUUUAAGCCGUCAAACCCUUCAAUAAUCGCUAACGUAUUAUUUUGGUCCUCGUCCGUUUGGAAGCCAGCAGAGCUGCCCGCCUCCCUCCAACCGGGGCUGGGGUUGAAAAAUGGCCGCUUUCCAGUCGUCCUUCCCCACCCGCACCCUCCGCCUCGGCUCUAUCCCGAAACUUUCUCUGAUGGGCUUUGAUUCGAAAUUCCAAGGGCUCAAAAAAGAAGAAAAGCGGGAUCGGGUGCGAGAGAUAUCUGCCGGCUGCAGUUUGCAUGCUAUUUAUUUCAGUCUUGUUCUUAAAAUACGAAUAGCACGUGCAUUUCUUUUUGAACAUUAGAAGGGAAAGGAAGAGAGGAGACAGAUGCAUCGUAGCGACUCCCAGUUGCACGCCUGCUCGUCUUCUGCGUCUCAACUGCCCGUGCUGCUCGCCCAUUGUGGAGCAACUGGUGCCUGGCAAGGGAGUUCAGUGAAUGGGGUGGGAAGCCGUUUUUUGCUGCUUGCGUCUAAAGACCGCACCGCAAAGAUCGUUCGCGGAAGGCGCCGAGCGCUGCAGCCGUUGGGCUUCGGACAGCAAAAGGAGAAAAAGAGCCCGUCCCUUUGCCUGAGCCAGUCUUUUCGGUUUUUUGAAGCAGACGCUGGAACCCGGAGCGCAGUCUGACGGAACGUACGGCCACACAACUACAACGUGAACCCGGAACCUUCCUUCCACUGGCUGCUUUUCCCUGCUGCUAGCCCGUCAGGCGCGGUGGCCAAGUGGUAAGGCGUCGGUCUCGUAAACCGAAGAUCGCGGGUUCGAACCCCGUCCGUGCCUCAAAAUUGGACUUGUUAGUGUCACGGCUUGCUAAUGAGGGGGAUGGAAAGGGAUUCCCUUUCACAAGCCGCUUUUUGUUUUUCAGGCUCGGCUUCCUUCAUUGAUUUUUUUUUAAGAGGAGUGGGGGAAGGGACAGCCUGCGGGCUGCCACCUUAUACCCUUGGCCCGCUGCUCCCUGGGGAGGUGCUCUGACACUCACACAAGUCUAUGUUAGCAAGGAUGCCCGCUGAUUUGUUCUUGCGGGGAUCGGAGCAACCCACGCUCGGGGUUAUCUUGCAAGAUGAGCUAGAAAAUAGUCAUUCCCCACAAAACACAGCCACCCGGUGGAGCUUCCUCCAUUGCGCGGGAAACAGGGUUAUAAAAGACGGGGGAGGUGUGCGUGGCUCAUUUUGCGACUGACUAUUUUAAACGUCGCGGCGCUGGUGGCAUAGAAGGGAAAGAAAGAGCAGCCUACGGAAGACGGUCAUUUUCUAUAUUGAGCGCGAAUGGGUGGCAGUGCAAAGGAGCGCAGUGCACGCACUGGAACCGCGAAUCUCUGUUGCCGUAGGAAAGGAGACCGGCUGUGCAGUGGCUUUGCGCGGCGCUGCAAGAAGAACCCCUAUGGAUUCCACCGACACGCUUUCAUUACGCCGGAUCUUUUAAAUAUGACCACACCGCCAGAACAAAUAAAUAUCUGAAACGCCGGCUUUGAGGAACCCAAAGAUUGGCAUACCUGUGGUUUCUAGAUGGUCACCCAUCCAGACACAGACCAGACCCAUGCCUGCUUCAUGUGCCAUACACUGUACAUUUGUCGUGUAGAUCAGAGGUCCCCAAACUCUGGUCCAUGAACCACCAGCGGUCCGCAAGCUUCAUUCAGGUCUGUUUAAAAAAGAAGAAGUGUGGUCUAGCAGUACCUGAACAAAGGAGGGAUGGAGAAACAUAAUGGAGAAAGAACGCUCUUUUCUUCAGCGUCCUCUAAGGCCUAACCACAUGCAACAAUGAGGCAUGCAUCUCUUCUGUCCUCCUUCCGCAUCUCCCCCAUAAUUUCCCAUAAACACAUGACAUCAGUGCAAGCCUGAUGCUACCUAAAGUGGAGCCCAACUGGUGACCCCCCCCCUUGGGCCAAACCUUCCUGCACCUUUCAGACAUCAAUUCCUACUUUCAUAUAUUUCCCGCUCCCCAGUGCUGUCUGAAGUAUAUCUCUUCACCCAUUGGCUCUGCAUUCUGUGACAUCACUGUAUGCAUGAGGUUUCCUCAACACCUGCGCCAGUUUGUUGGCUGCCACUUGUAAAAAAGGUAAAGGUGUCCCUGUGAUGUUCCUGUAUUAAUGUAUAUAUGGUAAGUACUGUUUGUAUGGAAGAUAUGUGGUAAGUGGAGUGAAAGAGGAGGGGGGAGUAAAUGAGCAGUAGAAUGCUGGAUGAUUGGCUGAGUGUUUGAAUGGCUGAGAGUAUAAAUGGAAGGAUGACAGUUGAAUCUGGGUGGACGUUGGUGGGUUGUUUGAGAGGUGUUUGGUGGGGUUUUUGAGAGGAGAUUGUGUGGAGAGUUGGUGGAUGUGAGGAAAGUGUGGAGUUCGGAUUAAUACUAAGACAAGUAUCACAGGAAUAGAUGAAACCAUAUGCUUAUGAGCCUUUAUAAAGUAAUCUUGUUAUUUCUAAUAUUUAAUAAACACUAUUUUGGUUUACCGGAGGCCUGAUCCUUGG